GACAAACGCUAGCGGCGUGCCUAAGAAAUGCAAGUCGAGCGGAUCGAGGGUGCUUGCACCCAAAGGUUAGCGGCGAACGGUCGCGUAACACGUAAGCAACCUGCCUCGAAGUGGGGGAUAGUCCUCCGAAAGGGGGCUUAAUACCGCAUGUGGACAAUAACUGGCAUCUGGUAUUGUCUAAAGCAGUAAUGCGCUUCGAGAUGGGCUUGCGGCCUAUCAGCUAGUUGGUGAGGUAACGGCUUACCAAGGCGACGACGGGUAGCUGGUCUGAGAGGAUGGUCAGCCGGACUGGGACUGAGACACGGCCCAGACACCUACGGGUGGCAG
rnacentral:rRNA from 1 species